CUGCGAGUGUGUGUGCCGAACGAGGAGCAAGGAGCUUGUGCGAGCGAGUGUGCGAGCGGGGGUGCGCGUGUGAGUGUGCGUGCGCGUGGCGCGGGCGCCGUCGCUGCUCGGAGCCUGGCCGGGCCGGGGUCCGCGGGCUUCAGCGCGUGCGCUUGGCCUGCGGGGAGCCCAGGUCCCACGCGGCCCGCAACCAGACAGGGCUGCGAAGGUGCAGGCGGGCCAAGCGCUGCGGACCCGGCGGGCUGCAGGAAGAACUAACUAUACCCCGAACAUCCGCUGUCAGCAGGCACAAGGCUGUGAUUCAAGAUGAGUGCCCGAAGCUUCCUCUGCCUGUGUGAAGAAGAUCCAGCAAGAGAAGGAAGCAGGGUUCCUGAAAGCCAGGCUGAUGAGGAAAACUCCUGUGCUGAGUUAACGUGGGCGUCUGAGUGGGCAGAGUCAGUGUAUGAACAGCACAGGUGCCCACCCCACCCCCACCCUGGCGGGAAUACUCUAUGAGGUCAAAGCUGGUCCCUGUGUCUGUCUUCAAGGACACAAGCCAAUUUAAAAAGAAAUCAUUCACUUAAAAAGAAUGUUUAGAUCAGCUCCCACUGGUGCAGACUGAUUGGUUAAUAUCAUCUCAACUUAGCGUGUUCUGAAAAUAAGGGUUACUAACCUUCACAGACAACCAGUGGUCUCAGGGAGCCACGAAGCUGUCUCGGGACUGCACACAAGACACACACAGGUGAAGCUGGAUGCAAGUCAGACCUGUGAACUAACUCCCCGCAACCGAGGGGGGAGGAAGUGACCACAUCAUCUCAUUGGCUCUGCAGAUCCAAGUCCACUCAAACGGCAAGCAUGGCCCAGAGUUGGAUGCACCCUCAGAUUCAACAGCCGACCACUGGCAUCCCUUUUUCCCCCUUCCACGGUGGUACAUGGAAUAAAAACACACCCCGGGCUUGCUGGAAUACCAAGGAAACAUUCAUGCCCAUGGAGAGAGGAGCCUUCACUAACCUUGAGUGGGAGAGAAUCAGCCAGGGCCUCUGCGGCACAUGGAAAUACUUGUCUUAAGUAGUUGGCUCUUAGAAAUCACAGCCCAGAUGCCUGAAGCAGAAGGAGAAGCACCUGUAGUGGCUGUCACCCUGCAGGCACCUCUGUUACUGGAGUCACCAAGAAACGGUAUUACGGGAGUCUUGGAAGUGAGAGUGCUCCUCUAAGGAGAGACCCAGGAACCUGUUGCUAAGGGGCCAGCAUGCAGGGUCCCUGCUGGGCCUGCAUAGAAGGAGCCCGGUGCUUAGUGGUUCCUUCCUGAAGCCUAGGCUAAGGAUUCUAUAUGGCUUCAUCCUCCGCUCUACUCAAGCAAAGACAAGCUUCAACUGCUGGGCCUAAGGCACAUGGAGCUCAACUCAACAACUGGGAAUGGAGGACCCCUCCAGAGACCCAGAAGACCCCCGCCCGGGGGGGGGGUGACAUCAGUUGGGGAGCUAUUAAUAACUGCCCUCCCCUCCCUGUCAUAUUUCCUGAACUGUGUGGGGAAGGCGAUUGUGAGGCGCUCUGCUGGAAUUUGGCAGCGCGGAGGCUUGGAGAGCAGCCCCAUGCUGGCUCCUAUUCAGCCGGCCAGUUUUCCUCGAGCUUUGGAAGUUUCACUCAGCCGUGCACUCAAUGGCUUCACAAAGCUGAUUACAAGCUUCAGCGCAUUCCUGAAGGAGCCAAAAGCGACGCAGGUGCAAACGAGCCGAGGGAGCCCCUUAUCCCGGUGACAGAAUGGGACAAGCUGGGAAAGGCUUGGACCACACAAAUCCAAGGCUCACCAGGCAGCAGAGAGCCUGCCUUGGGAACCGGGGGUCAUUAUCCGCCCUAUUCAGCGGGACCGGGGACCCUGGGGCCAAGGAGGCCGGCCGGGCGCAAGCGCCACCGCCAGUACGCGCCUGCAGCAGUGGGGACCCCGCUGGGCGUUGCAACCCGUCGGGAUGUUGGGCGCUGCGUUUGUUCCCACCGACAGCGGUCAGCGAAAUCCAUCCUGCGGGUGAAAGCCGGUGUCCAGGCUAACCGGGAUACAGGAGAAGGAGGGUAGCGAAGAUGCUCAGUGCGUGGACAGUGCGUAACUUUGUCUCCAUCACAGUCACUUAUCUGGAAACCUGCGGCUGGAUUAAUCGCUAUAUUCCCAAGAUGAGCGGUGCUGCAAUCCGCAGUGAACACGGGUGGGAACACGGAAGCUUCCCCUAGGUUCUUGCGGGGGCCAGCAGCUGGCCAGCUCCCUGCAGUGGAUGCUGCACAGUAGCUAGCACCUGUUUGGGCUCGGGUUGGGGGUCUACGAGCACUUAGGCGCACAGAAGAUGUGGAAGAGAGGAAGGAAACAGGCCUGUGGGGACUCCGGCCUGAGAGAGGUUGAUUAGCUCCCAGUAAAGGCACAGAACUGCCUAUAUAAAGAGCUUUUUAACCUGAAAAUGAUGCUGCUGAGUCUUCAGACCGUGGUCUAUUCAGAUGCAGAAAAAUGUUCCCUCCCAUCUUGAUCUCCCAGCCUCACCCCUACCACACCCACAGCUACUCCUUAGGCCCCUCCCCUGGAAUUUUCUCCUUCGGGAUCCUGGUCCUACAAGGGUUAGUAAUAUUUACUUAGGAACUGUGGGCGUGGAAAUAAAUCCUAGUUGUUCAGCCCCUUGCCCUACCUGUUCCAGUUAAAGACGGUGGGUUGUACCCAGGCAGUGGUGGCGCACGCCUUUAGUCCCAGCACUUGGGAGGCAGAGGCAGGCGGAUUUCUGAGUUUGAGGCCAGCCUGGUCUACAGAGUGAGUUCCAGGACAGCCAGGGCUGUACAGAGAAACCCUGUCUCAAAAAACCUAAAAUAUAAAAUAAAAUAAAAUAAGAUGGUGGAGUGUGUGGUGCCAAAGCUCUAGGGAGAAUACUUGUCUACAAAAACUUUCUCUGCUGAGGUCAAAGCAUCAGCUUCGAGGGAACUACCACUUGGUGUGUGAGGUCUCUGCGCCUGGGCAACGGUGUCUCUGUAGGUGUGAAAGCUGGGCAUCAGCUUGUGACAGCUUUAGGCCACAGAAGCCGAAACUGUGCGCCUCCAUUUUGUCAGCAUAUUAAACAUCCAAGAGGUGCCUGGCCACCACAUAUGGCCCCUGAGCAUCCAACAUUCAGAAUGUCAUACACACUAGAUGUAGAGUUGCUGAAUGAGAAGGAGAUCAUUGAUUUCUUGAGAUGUUGGCUACAGAAAUGACAGUGCUUGGGAUGUGUUGGGUUAAAGAAAACACAUUAUUAAAGUGAGCCUGACUGCCAGCUGCUCUUGGAAGCCACUGUGGCCUUGGUAGCUCCUCUUUGCUGGCUCUGUGCCUUUCAGCGGCUGUCUGUGGUCUUUCCACGAUCCUCUAGGAAAUGGAAAGGGAAGAAACAAAUGCAGUGGAAAGGACUGAGCCUGCGAUCACUAGAGGCAGCCAGAGCCCCUCCCAGCUCCUCUCAAAGUUACCCUUGUAACAAUCAAAGCUUCCUCACUUGCAGCAGUAAAAAGAAGUAUACAUUGUAUUUAUUGCUGGAGUGGUAUUCUUUCUAGAUUAGCUUUAAUUCUGUUUAAUUACAUUGUGAUCAUUAACCGAGCUGCAACUUUUUGUUAUUAGAUAUUUUCUUUAUUUACAUUUAAAAUGUUAUCCCCCUUCCUAGUUUCCCCUACCAAAACCCCCUAUCCCAUCCCCACUCCCCCUGCUCCCCCAAUCCACCCACUCCCGCUUUCCUGUCUUGGCAUUCCCCUACACUGGGGCAUCGAGCCUUCACAGGACCAAGGGCCUCUCCUCCCAUUGAUGUCCAACAAGGCCAUUCCCUGCUACAUGUGCAUGCCCCGUGCUUUCACUGCUCUGUGAGUGGGCUGUGGGGGGAAAGGUGGUGCUGAAUUUCAUUCUGCAAAGCAAAGCAAGCAAAACAAAACAGUAUCAGAUCGUGAAUGUCACUGUGCUGAGCAUCCAGUGUGAAUGAUCAGGGCUCUACAGUCUAGAGCCCUUGUCUUGUGUGGACCACGGCAGGUGCCCACACUCUCAUCUCGAAAACAGAAAGAAGUGAAAGUAAUUUUAGAAGCAGUGUCUGAGAAUUUGAAUGUAUUUACAGACAGGAAGCCAUGGGUCCCUCCAUGUGGAGAUACAGAGACAAAGUGUGGAGCAGAGACUGAAGGAAAGGCCAUCCAGAGACUGCCCCACCUGGGGAUCCAUCCCAUAUACAGCUACCAAACUCAGAUACUAUUGUGAAUGCCAACAAGUGUGCAACUUUUGAAGAAUCUUGCUACUACUGUUGGAUGGAGGAACGUUGAUUCUAGGAGUGACUGUGCAAAUCCCAUGGCAUUACAAGGAAGCCUCUCUCUGCUAUUUUCAAACUUUUAGUCAGCACUUGACACUUUCUGGCUUUAAUUUUGCCUUACAAAUGAGUGUAACUGCCACCACUCAAACAAAACAGAAUUCUGAACAGAAAUUUGUCUUUUGUUGUCUAUACCAACCAAGAGUGAGUUCCUUCUCAAAAUUCCUUUUGGGGCUAACAUACACAUUUAGAAUGAUAUGAAAUGAGACUUAAACCAAGGAGGCCAUGAGGGAACAUGCUUAUAAAUGUCUAUUUUACAUGUAUUCAUUUACAUUUAUUCAUGCACUGGCAGUGUGCUUGCCAUGGUGAACAAGGAGGUUAGAAGACAGUCUUCAGGAGUCACUCCUCUCCUUCCAACUUGUGGGUCCCAGGGAUCUAACUCAGGCCACCUGGCUUGGCACCAACUGCCUUUGAGAUGUUGAACCAUCUUGCCAAUUCAAGUAAACUUGAUUAUUAAAGAUUCCAAAAUACUCUGUAUAAUAUUUUAGAUACCAGAGGUCUGAAAGUGAAAUUAUAAAAAGUAGAAAUUUUAUUUAGUCAUUUGGUGAUAAGAAAUGAAAAAAACCUGCUCCAUGCUUAUUGUCCUUAAUAUAUUCAAUUAAAGCACACCACGAAAAUUUUACAUGAAUAGGCUUGGCGUACAUACAAUAUCAUUCAAUUUAUUUACUUUAGGUAUUGUAUAACUAAUAUGAAAAAAAUGGGAAAAUGUGAAGUUAAAUCCACUACAUCAAUAAAGUGAAAGUAUCUCAGA